GAUAAACGCUGGCGGCGCACAUAAGACAUGCAAGUCGAACGGACUUAACCAUUAGUUUACUAUUGGAGCGGUUAGUGGCGGACUGGUGAGUAACACGUAAGCAACCUGCCUAUCAGAGGGGAACAACAGUUAGAAACGACUGCUAAUACCGCAUAAUGCCAUUUGGGGGCAUCCCUGGAUGACCAAAGAUUUAUUGCUGAAAGAUGGUCUCGCGUCUGAUUAGCUGGUUGGCGGGGUAACGGCCCACCAAGGCGACGAUCAGUAGCCGGUCUGAGAGGAUGAACGGCCACAUUGGGACUGAGAUACGGCCCAG
rnacentral:rRNA from 1 species